GCCCACGUAGCUCAGUGGAUAGAGCACUUGCCUCCGGAGCAAGGGGUCACAGGUUCAAAUCCUGUCGUGGGUA
rnacentral:tRNA from 1 species